rnacentral:rRNA from 1 species
GUGUCAGCCGCCGCGGUAAUACGUAGGGCGCAAGCGUUGUCCGGAAUUAUUGGGCGUAAAGAGCUCGUAGGCGGCUUGUCACGUCGAUUGUGAAAGCCCGAGGCUUAACCUCGGGUCUGCAGUCGAUACGGGCUAGCUAGAGUGUGGUAGGGGAGAUCGGAAUUCCUGGUGUAGCGGUGAAAUGCGCAGAUAUCAGGAGGAACACCGGUGGCGAAGGCGGAUCUCUGGGCCAUUACUGACGCUGAGGAGCGAAAGCGUGGGGAGCGAACAGGAUUAGAAACCCUGGUAGUCC